GAUCAGUGUAUGCGUACACACUAGUGCAUAAGCAGCAUCAACAGUAGCAACGGCUCGUCAUGAGUCUCACCAAAGCAGCCGUUCUUUUCUGCUCUACGACCAUGUUCUUGUCUCAGUGGCACUGUUCCAACGGCUACGUUUCCAUCGGACUGGUUCCUGUCAAAAAUGGCAAAUGUCAGUACAACGGCACGGAAAUACCACCGGGUGAGCCUCUCAAGCUGGAGCAUCCUUGCGAAGAAUGGGACUGUGAUUCAUCUACCGGAAAACUUUCUAUAACUGGUUGUAAUUCUGUGGAACCGGGCCGCGGCUGCAUUUUAAUCAAAGGCCGCGGAGUAUAUCCGGAUUGCUGCGGCCAGGUAGCCUGCUACUAGAGGUCUUCGAUGUCUUCAAGAUUCACACUGUGCUUGACGUCUUCAAGUGCCGCGAUGACCGGAGAUAAGUGCUGUGGGAAUAUCACAUGCACGGUGGUUUAACGUUUACAAGCUUGCACAAAUCUUCGCUGCUGCAUUGAGAGAUGUAAAAACCCCUUUAGAACCUUAUAACUUCCGGCAGUCGCCACCCGAAAUGACAUAACAAAGAAUUGUAACCAUCAUGUGGACGCUUCCAUUAAUUGAGGUGUUUCUUCUAUACAGCUCUGUUAUUCUGUACGAAAUAAAGAUGAAAGAUAUUCUUUA